GUUAAGAGCAAGUUGGUGGGUAAGACCCAGUUGUCUAGCGGGAAAAGGGGAAGUCAAAAAGCCCACGAAGCUCAAACUGCGUUUCGCUGAAACAGAAGACGACGUCGCUUGACCUCCUCUGAAAGUUUGAUUGGACUUUGAAGCACUCUGCAGAUACGAGAUUUGUGACCGACCGGUUCCCUUCAACGGAAGGUCAGGACGGUGCGUUUCGAGCCCUGAAACUCACCUGACUCGUUGAGUUUCAGUGUAAAACCCUAGAACGACUCAAACCGCACGCAGGGAAGGGAACUCACCACUCCAAGCUAUGCCUGGCUCUGAACCUGGGAGUCCAGAAAUGGAUCCAAUACAAGCCAAUCCUGCUCCGAGGAGGCCUCGGAUUCUACUUGCUGC